ensembl:lncRNA
AUGUGGGUGCAGGGGCCCAAGCACUUGGGCCAUCUUCUUCUCCUUUCCCAGGCCAUAGCAGAGAGCUGGAUUGGAAGACAGCACCCAGAACAUGAACCAGUGCCCAUAUGGGAUGCCGGCACUGCAAGUGGAAGCUUAGCCUUCUGUGCCCCAGCACCAGCCCCUGCAAUCACUUUUAAGCAUGUGCAUGAUCCACACAUCAGACUGUCUUCCAUCCCUGACCUUUCCAGCCCCUUUAUCCUUCACCUUGCAAAGGUAACCAUUUUUAUUAUUUCAUGUUUCUUUUUGCAAAUACAAGUAAAUAUGUAUUCUCACUUCCUCCCUUUCUUUUAAAUAAAAGGUGGCACAGUAUGUAUGUUCUACCUUUUAAAAAAGCUUUAUCGAUACGUAAUUUAUUUAUUUAUUAUAAUUAUCAUAUAAUUAUUUAUUUAUUUAAUUUAUUUAUUUUAAAGAUUUAUUUAUUUACUUGAAAGUCAGAGUUACACAGAAAGAGGAGACGCAGAGAGAGAAAGAGGUCUUCCAUCCGCUGGUUUACUCCCCAAUUGGCCGCAACGGCCGGAGCUGCACUAUUCCAAAGCCAGGAGCCAGGGGGCCUCCUCCAGGUCUCUCACAUGAGUGCAGGGGCCCAAGGACUUGGGCCAUCUUCUACUUCUAUCCCAGGCGAUAGCAGAGAGCUGGAUGGGAAGUGGAGCAGCCGGGACUAGAACUGGCACCCAUAUGGGAUACCAGCGCUUCAGGCCAGGGCGUUAACCCGCUGCGCCACAGCGCUGGCCCCAAAACAUAAUUUAUUUAGCAUAGAAUUCACUAUUUAAAGUGGGCACUUCUAUAACUAUGAAUGUAUUUACAGAGUUGUGCACCCAUCCCUAUGAUAUAAUAGUAGAGUGUUUCUGUUCCUUCAAAAAGAACGCUUUGUGAUUCUGCAGUACACCUACUACCAUUCACUGCUCUAGGCAACCACGAAUCUACUUUUUCCCUGUAUACAGCUGUUUAUUCUUUUUGUUUCUCUCUCUCUCUCUCUCUCUCUCUCUCUCUCUCUUUCUUUCUCUUCCCCUUCCUUGCUUCCUCCCUCCCUCCCUUCCUUCCUUUUUUUGUUUUCUUUCUUUCUUUAGCAAUUUAUUCUAUAUUGUAUAAAGAACUAGCAGAGAGGAGUCUAAAGUUUGCUAGUGCAAAGAAAUAAUCGAUGUUUACGGAGAUGGAAAUGCUAUGGAUUUGAUCAUUAUACAUGGCAUACAUACAUUGAAUUAUCACACUGUACCCUAUAAAUAUAUAUGAUUAAAACAAAUGUUUUUGCCUCUUCAGAUUUGCAUUUGCUCUCUUUUACUUAACACUGACUCCUGUGUGUUUAUAGAACUUCAGUUUUAAGGGCUAAUGUCGUGAUUAAGAAGCUGGUUAUGAUGCCUGUGUCCCACAUCAGAGUACUUGAUUUUGAUCCCUGGCUAAAGCUCCUGAGUCCAGUUUCUUGCUAAUGUAGACCCUAGAAGGAGGCAGUGAUGGCAUAAACAGGUGUUUUUAGUUACCCACUUGAGAGACAUGUUUUCCCAGUUUUAGGCCCUGCCUGGUCUCAGCCCAGCCGGUCUUUGCAGGUAUUUGGGGAAUGAACGAGCAUAUGGGAAUUAACUCUCUUAGAGUGUGUGUGUGUGCGUGCGUGUGUGUGUGUUUCUGCCUCUCUGCCUUUGGAAUAAGAGAAACCUGUUUCAUCAUUUGAGUAAAUUUUUGCUGAAGUGUGACACACAUUUAUAUGUCUCUAUUUAGAGAAUUGCACAAAUACUGAGAGCUUUAUGAUUUAAAAAUAUUUAUUUUGAGAGGCAGAGAGAGACAGACAUACAGGGAAAUCUUCCAUCCACCGAUUCACUUUUUUUUUUUUUUAAGAUUUAUUUAUUUAUUCGAAAGUCAGAGUCAUACAGAGAGAGGAGAGGCAGAGAGAGAGAGUGGUCUUCCAUCCGCUGGUUCACUCUACAGAUGGCCGCAAUGGCUGGAGCUGCACCGAUCCGAAGCCAGGAGCCAGGAGCUUCUUUCAGGUCUCCCACGUGGGUGCAGGGGCCCAAGGACUUGGGCAUCUUCUACUGCUUUCCCAGGCCACAGCAGAGAGCUGGAUCGGAGGAAGAGCAGCUGGGAUUGGAACCGGCGCCCAUAUGGGAUGCCGGCGCUUCAGGCCAGGGCAUUAACCCACUGAGCCACAGCGCCGCCUCCCUUCCCCCCAUAUUCACUCUUUAAAUGCCUAAAAAUGGCUGGGAUUAGGUCAAGCUGGAGUCAGGAGUCAGAAACUCACUCUAGGUAUCCCCAUGUGGGUGGCAGGGACCACCUUGAGCCAUCAUCACCUUCUGUUUCCUAUGGUGUGUAUUAGCAGUUGGCUGGGAAUGGGAGGUAGAAGCAGGAUUUGAAUCCCAAAUGCCGGCCCCAUCUUUAUGAAUUUUCAUAAAGUGAACAUUCUCAAAUAUCCAGGUCCCAGAUCAAGAAGUAGAACAUUAGGGACUGGCAUUGUGGUUCAGUGAGUUAAUUCACUGCUUGCAAAAGCAGAAUCCCAAACGUACGUGCUGGUUUGCUCUGCUGCUGAUCCAGGUUUCCCUCCCAAUGUGGCUGGGAAGGCAGCAGCAGAUGACCCAAAUACCUGGGCCCCUGCUACCCAUGUGGACGACCAGGAUGGAGUUCCUGGUUUUUGGUUCCAGCCUGGCCCAGCCCAGCUCUGGCUGUUGUGGGCAUUAGGAGAGUGAAUCAGAGAAUGGAAGAUCUCUCUCCCUCUCACAUUCUCUCUCCCUUUCUCUCUGUCACUUUGUCUGUCAAGUAAAUACAAUAAAUCUUAAAAAAUAGUAUCA